GAUCCGCUCUAGAAUUUUGCCGUUACUUCCUCCCCACCAUUAUCCACGGGCCAUAUGCCUUGGACCAUCUGCACCACCACUUUCCACCACUGCCAUAUUUGUCACGGGACCCCGAACAGUGUUAGUGCAGACUCCUUUCCUAUACCCAUAACGUCUGCACAAAAAGUAGAUCGAUGGCAAAUGCUUAUAUUCAACUCUAUGAAUGUGCAGUUAAUCAGUACCUGGGGAACCAAAGGCUUAUCUAGAUUAACAUAAAUUGCCAUACUGGCAAACCGCCCCCGUGCUCCAUUGUUGGGGUUAAAAUCUAGUUUCGUCACUUUUACCACCAUCUCUCUGAUCUCCCAUAAUACCUUUUGUUUGUACAUAUACCCUGGAAAGCGGAGCCAAGCCAUGAUAGUGCUCGAGAAUGGCUAUGCAGGGUUGAACUCCAAGGACCACGGUUGUACUGUCAGUGUCCAUCAUUUUGAUCGGCAUAGAGGGCUUCCACAUGUUGUAGAUUUUGUUCUGCAAAGCAGCAAACCCUGUGGUCCUACCAAAUAGUUUGAUGAGCACUAUAUUAGCCAUGUGUUUGAUAAAAAAAUGGUAGACUGUCUCCGAGAAAACAACCAAAGGGAUACCAUUCACAAUCGAGCUUGUGAUAUCUCCCUCUUGAAAAUAAAACUCCUCUACCAAUUUCGCUCCUAACACUUCGAUCUCCCCAUUCGAACCACCAGGGCCUUUACUCACCAAUUUAUCUUUCCAAGAUAUCGUUGGUUCAACCACCAAGUCGACGGCCAUAACCAAAUCCAAAUCAAUAUCCUUAUCCUUAAGGCGCACUUUCUUUGUAAAUCGAUCAUCAGACAAAUGGGACUUAGAUCCAUCACCUUCAAUCAUCAUUUCAAGGUUUUUUUCUCUCUUUAUUAUGCUGAUAGAAACUUUGAUUGUUAGUUUCUAUCCAAUUUUAAGAUUUAUUAACAACUAUAUAGAGCAUUAAAUUUUUUUUCCA